UCGUGCUUAACUGCAGGGCAGAGUUGUUUUGGGGAAGGCAGGAGGUCACUGCCCCUCUGUGCGGGGCAGGCAUGCAGAACUGCAGGACACGGUUGCGUCUGGGGAAGGAUGGGUUGGGAUUGCUUCCUCCUGCUAUGAUGCAGAUCUGAGAAAGGGACACACUUCUCCAGUACUAAAAGUUUGUCUGGAGCUUUUGUGUGAGACGUUCAGGAUGCUGGAUUCCUUAGAGAUCCUGGGCACUCAUACGGGAAUAUAAAGCACAUCCAGACCAGGCUUGGGAUGGUGCCAAGUGUGCAGAUGAAGCAAAUCGCAAUUGGAAAUGUGCGGGUGGGGAGUCCCCUGUUCAGGCAGGACUCAGAAACUGGGAUGUGAGCAGGGAGGUGGGGGUGAGCUGGGUCUCUGCCCCUCUAAGGAAAGCUCUCUCUGCCCCAUGCUGCAGGUGCUGUCUUGACCACCCAGGACAUCUGCAGCUCUCCAGGAUUGCAGGAGCAUGGAGGUAACGACCAGACUCCAGUCCUGUACCUCAACGCUUCCAGUGCCAAGGAGGGGGAAAUAAUUUUCUUUCAGUGUGUCAUUGAUUGGCAGUUUCCUGCUACACGAGUUGUCUUCUGCAAGAAUGGGCAGGAGGAGUUCAGCCUGAAAGCCCAGCAGGGCAAGGUCAUCUAUGCUCUGGUCCUGAACAUCACCUCCAGAAGUGCUGGGACGUACACGUGUGGAUACCAGCAGAGGAACGAGAGCAACUGGGUGAGGAACUCUGCUCUCAGUGCUCCCCAGACCCUGUCUGUACCAGGCAGUGUGGCCAGCUCCCCAGCAAGGCCAUUGCCCCCAGGCAAUGUGGUGAGUUCCCCAGCAACUCCACCACCCACAGGUGAGUGAUUCCCUCCUACACCCUCAGGACCACCAGAAUGGGUCUCAGUCACUCCAGCGUGCUGUCCCCAGGGAACGGGGCCAUGCAGGAGCUUCACCAGGCAGGAGGUGUGCUGCUGCACGGGCACGUCCUGCUCCCUGCCUCUCCCCAUCACACCCUGCUGCCCUCACACCCUCUGUCCCCCAACUCCAAAUUCCCGGAUCCCACACACCCUCCCCACAGGCACGGCACUGGCAGUGGCGGCUGUCGGCCUCAUCCUUCUGGCUGCAGGCAGCUGGUUUGCCA